UGGUGGAGUGAUUUGUCUGGUUAAUUCCGUUAACGAACGAGACCUCGACCUGCUAAAUAGUUCGGUGAAUCUUCUGAUUCAUACGUGACUUCUUAGAGGGACUCUCGGUGCGUAGCCGAUGGAAGUUCGAGGCAAUAACA
rnacentral:rRNA from 1 species